rnacentral:rRNA from 1 species
UACGAAGGGGGCGAGCGUUGUUCGGAUUUACUGGGCGUAAAGGGCGCGUAGGCGGCCCUCCUUGUCGUGUGUGAAAGCCCCGGGCUCAACCUGGGAAUUGCGCGCGAAACGGGGGGGCGUUGAGUUCGGGAGAGGAGCGUGGAAUUCCCAGUGUAGAGGUGAAAUUCGUAGAUAUUGGGAAGAACACCGGUGGCGAAGGCGGCGGCUACGUGG